rnacentral:siRNA from 1 species
UGGGUGAACGACCUGUGUGCCC